AGAACGUGAUGAGAAUGAGCCUGGUGUCCCCGCUCGGCUCUUUUCACGACUCGCAACGAGGGAGAAAGGUCGAAGUGCGGUGGUCUCGUGGCGGAAGGCUGAAGGAGGCGGUGAAGGAGUGAAUGUGUGAAGUGUGCAGCUUCCACUUCAUCAUCCCAUGAACAGCCCACAGGAAUCUCUACCAGCACCUGGUUAUUAAACAGUGUUGUCACGCCAGGCCCAAUGUACUCCAUUGCAAUCAGGGAGUCAAGCUUCACCAGGAAAAGAGGCAGAGCGUCACCACCUUCAAGCCCCACAAGAGGUAUUAAGUAUUGUUGGGACAAAGCAAUCAGGGAAGAGUCAAGUUGCAGUAAGAAGAGUGUGUCAAGAAUUUCAAGCAGGAAGAACACGUAAAAUUCCCUUCAAGUCAUGGCGGGACUGACAGGCAACCUUCAACACUUGUGGAGGCACGAGAGCUGCAGGCAGUUUCACAAAGAAGAGGUUGCUCCUCACUCAAGUUGAUGCAAGGACAUAAGAAUUGGCAAGUGUUGUUGCUCCCAGGCCCUGCUGCAAGAGUUCUCCAGUCCACUCUAGUCUGGGAAGGAAGAAUGUAGCAAGUCCCUCUCUUCUGUAUUCAACAACCACCACCACCACCUUCAUUCAGGCUUGGGAUAAGUUUUGUAUAUUCCAAUACUUCAGUAAUAAAGAAAAAAAAGUGCCAUGUUUAUA